rnacentral:rRNA from 1 species
GUAGUUAGCCGGGGCUUCUUAGUCAGGUACCGUCAUUAUCUUCCCUGCUGAUAGAGCUUUACGUACCGAAAUACUUCUUCCCUCACGCGGCGUUGCUGGGUCAGGCUUGCGCCCAUUGCCCAAUAUUCCCCACUGCUGCCUCCCGUAGGAGUCUGGACCGUGUCUCAGUUCCAGUGUGGCCGAUCAGCCUCUCAGCUCGGCUACCCAUCGUCGACUUGGUGGGCCGUUACCCCGCCAACUAUCUAAUGGGACGCGAACCCCUCCUAAAGCGGAUUGCUCCUUUGACCUCAUCCCGAUGUCGGGUCGUGGUCUUAUGCGGUAUUAGCACUUGUUUCCAGGUGUUAUCCCCCUCUUUAGGGCAGGUUGUUCACGCGUUACUCACCCGUUCGCCACUCAGAUAAAACCGAAAUCUUAUCUCCGUUCGACUUGCAUGUGUUAGGCACGCCGCCAGCGUNUCUCUAGCNCGACGACAACAACUACUACUACGUAGACGGCGGUCGGCGACGGACGGCGACGACG